rnacentral:rRNA from 1 species
ACUCCUGCGGGAGGCAGCAGUGAGGAAUAUUGGACAAUGGGUGGAAGCCUGAUCCAGCCAUCCCGCGUGCAGGAAGACGGCCCUAUGGGUUGUAAACUGCUUUUAUCUGGGGAUAAACCUACUUACGUGUAAGUAGCUGAAGGUACCAGAAGAAUAAGCACCGGCUAACUCCGUGCCAGCAGCCGCGGUAAUACGGAGGGUGCAAGCGUUAUCCGGAUUUAUUGGGUUUAAAGGGUCCGUAGGCGGACUGAUAAGUCAGUGGUGAAAUCCGACAGCUUAACUGUCGAACUGCCAUUGAUACUGUUAGUCUUGAGUAAGGUUGAAGUGGCUGGAAUAAGUAGUGUAGCGGUGAAAUGCAUAGAUAUUACUUAGAACACCAAUUGCGAAGGCAGGUCACUAAGUCUUAACUGACGCUGAUGGACGAAAGCGUGGGGAGCGAACAGGAUUAGAAACCCCUGUAGUCCCA